GAACAUAAUCAUUUGGAUAGCCAGACAGCCAAGAAUGGCAGCAAUUGGAUAUGUGAUCUUGGACCUGAGUAUGAAGCCAAUAUCGGUGAUAGAGGUAACAAACACACGGAAUUGUGAGUCUCAAGAAAGGUCAGAAAUGAGAGGAUCAGCAUGAGGAACAAGGACAAACCAUCCAAAUCAAGGGAAGAAAGCCCAGGUAUCUAUUAGGCAGUAUAGCCACUGGCUAUGACAGAAAAUGUCACCAACCAGAAGCUGACAAUCAAGAGAGCCCUUUCUCAGGGCUAAGAAGAAGGAGUGAAAAAUAAAUCUAGAGGGGCCAAUGAAAGAUAUCUGACACACAUAAAAUCAGUCACACAUGGGUGAACUGUAAGAGACUGAAAGUAAAUAAAUGAAUGAAGUUACC
rnacentral:lncRNA from 10 species